GAUGAACGCUGGCGGCGUGCUUAACACAUGCAAGUCGAACGGUGAACGAGGGAGCUUGCUCCCUCCGGAUCAGUGGCGAACGGGUGAGUAACACGUGAGCAAUCUGCCCUGGACUCUGGGUUAAGCGUUGGAAACGACGUCUAAUACCGGAUACGAGGCGUGUGGGCAUCCCCAACGCCUGGAAAGAACUUCGGUCCAGGAUGAGCUCGCGGCCUAUCAGCUAGUUGGUGAGGUAACGGCUCACCAAGGCGACGACGGGUAGCCGGCCUGAGAGGGUGACCGGCCACACUGGGACUGAGACACGGCCCAGACUCCUACGUGAGGCAGCAGUGGGGAAUAUUGCACAAUGGGCGCAAGCCUGAUGCAGCAACGCCGCGUGAGGGACGACGGCCUUCGGGUUGUAAACCUCUUUUAGCAGGGAAGAAGCGAAAGUGACGGUACCUGCAGAAAAAGCACCGGCUAACUACGUGCCAGCAGCCGCGGUAACAC
rnacentral:rRNA from 1 species